UAGCUAUGUACGGAAUGGAUAAGCGCUGAAAGCAUCUAAGCGCGAAGCCAACUUCAAGAUAAGAUUUCCCACCGUAAGGGUAAGACCCCAGAAAGACUAUCUGGUUGAUAGGUCGAAGGUGUAAGUGAAGCAAUGUAUUUAGCUUAUCGAUACUAAUAGGUCGAGGACUUGACCAA
rnacentral:rRNA from 1 species